CACACAUAGGAGCCUCCAAUACAGGAUACUAUGGACAGCUGAUGUGAAGGGUUCGCCCCCUUCACAUCAGCGAUUCU
rnacentral:antisense_RNA from 1 species